GCCACCCUGGCAGGACAUCUGUCUUUGUUUUCCAAGAAAAUAAAAUGAUGGGAGCUCUCAUGUCAGUUCUGCAGAGGUGGAGAGAAAGGUGUGACAUUCAGUAAAGGUGAUGGACCAGCGGGUGGAGAGGUUAUGGAAGGCGUCAGGACACCCAGGGCGAGGGCGGCUGCUCUGACCGUGGACCAGGUCGUCAUUAGGAUGCAGACAGACGCAUGUUCACCAAAUGGACUACGGAGGCAGGGGUCAGUCUAUCAAAACAAAGCAAAACACACGAGCAGAGUGUUGCAUCCCAGAUCUUCUGGAGGAAUAAACACCCAGAGUUGCAUCAGAUUCUGCUCUGAUCCGGAUCUGUUUACCGACUGGAGGACAAUUCAGAGAUGACUUUUUCAUUUUUGGGAUUCAAAAAACUCGAUUUAUCUUUACUCCUGUUUAUCAACCUGACUGCAGCAGCGAUCUGUUCAGGUGACCUGCAGGUGUUAUGUGCUGUAAUGUUGCCUGCUGACUAAAGGGAAAUUGUCAUGGUUUUGAUUUUUAGUUUUUUUGGUGUCAAUUUUUACUUUUCACUUCCUGUCAUUGUCUGUUUUCCCUCCUUUGUGAUUGCCCCUUUAGUUUCACUUUGGUCUUAUUUGUCUUCCCUCUCUCUCUGUGUCAGUUUGUCUGUCACCUCCUCGUGUUUUCUGCCCACAUGUUUUUAGAUUCCUGUCGGUGUACUUCUGGUUUGUACUUUUUUUGCUAUUUGUAUUUCACUUUGGUUUUAUUUGAAUCAGCC
rnacentral:lncRNA from 1 species